rnacentral:rRNA from 1 species
GAUGAACGCUGGCGGCGUGCUUAACACAUGCAAGUCGAACGGAAAGGCCAGUGCUUGCCCUGGUGCUCGAGUGGCGAACGGGUGAGUAACACGUGGGUGAUCUGCCCUGCACUUUGGGAUAAGCCUGGGAAACUGGGUCUAAUACCAGAUAGGACCAUGCUUUGGAUGGUGUGGUGGAAAGUUUUUUCGGUGUGGGAUGAGCUUGCGGCCUAUCAGCUUGUUGGUGGGGUAAUGGCCUACCAAGGCGUCGACGGGUAGCCGGCCUGAGAGGGUGUACGGCCACAUUGGGACUGAGAUACGGCCCAGACUCCUACGGGAGGCAGCAGUGGGGAAUAUUGCACAAGGGGCGCAAGCCUGAUGCAGCGACGCCGCGUGGGGGAUGACGGCCUUCGGGUUGUAAACUCCUUUCGCAACUGACGAAGCUUUUUGUGACGGUAGGUUGAGAAGAAGCACCGGCUAACUACGUG